AUGAAGCAAAAUUUUACAGCUUUGAUCACAGAGGCUGUGACUUUAGCAAAAGUUUGACAUCUUUGAUCACAGUAGGCUGUAAAUAAAAGCGUUAAUUUUGCAAAAACAUUUGAAGAUUGCCGAAACACUGCGAUUUAAUCAUAUAAUUAAGAUUUGCGAUUUUUCAUUCUAAAUUUAUCUUCGA